ACUUAUCUACCUUUUUAGAACCACUACAACCAACUCUCAUGUAAUGAGGGUUUUUUUAUGGCAAAACUCCCCAUAUAUGUAGAAUUGUAGAUAGAAAUUGUGAGUGUAAUUUAUAAAAGGUCACUACAUCCAACUCUAAAAAAACAAACGUCAUCUAAGUGAGACUGAGGGUUCAGCACCAAAUUUACAAAAGGAGAUCAAAUUCGGUUUCGGCGCCGCAAUGAGGUUGUUCAUCUUCAUCUUCCUCGUAGUUCCUGCAAUGGCUGGAGUUUAUGCAGCAAUCCAAUUAUUGGAUUGGAGCACAUCUGAGGACAAAUGAUUGAGAGAUUUCAACUCACAAUUUCGAGUUUUCUUCUAUCAUAUGCUUGGUUUUAGCUGAUUUCUUUACUUUAGUUCCUUGCUUUGUAAGUAAUACUUUCAUGACUGAAGUUUGAUUCCAAUUAGCCAGCAUUUCUUGCACAAUAAACCUUAUGUGAUUUCUAUCAUACAUAACAUAUGUCAUGGAGAAUUGAAGUGAUAGCGUUCUAAAACUCUGCAUUUGUGCUCAUAUAAACAUAGGGGUUUCUGCAUCAAUUCUACAGAGUACAUUAUUUCUCGAACAAAGCAUGGCCGGGGCAAUGGAAUCCAUCAUGAUCAUCAUCUUUUCUAGAAUUGGAUCUUAGUCAGAGAAUUGAACCUUACUAAAUACAGCAAGCAGAAAAGGUUGUUCUGCUGGUCAGUUCUUCCUGCUUUUAAACUAUUUUGAAAAGAGUUCAGUUUGUGGAAUUGAUUGCCAUGAUGGUGUUGUUUUUCUUGACCUUCUUGUAUGUUGAAGUAGACUUUUCUUCUUUCUUUGGAAGAUAAUAGGUGCUUGCAUUGGUGCUUGAUGCUGCUUCGUGUAUCAUAAAGUCGUACACUGUUAAAUGGUACAAUUCAUCUUGAUUUAUCUUGUAACAUAAUCUCAUAGCCAUUGCUUAGAAAAUAGUAUCACAGCCAUGUUCUCAUU